rnacentral:misc_RNA from 1 species
GAUGAAGAACGUAGCGAAAUGCGAUAAGUAAUGUGAAUUGCAGAAUUCAGUGAAUCAUCGAAUCUUUGAACGCACCUUGCGCCCUUUGGCCAUUCCGAAGGGCAUGCCUGUUUGAGUAUCAUGAACACCUCAACUCUUCAUGGUUUUCCGUGAUGAGCUUGGACUUUGGGGGUCUUGCUGGCCUAUGGUCAGCUCCUCUAAAAUAAAUCAGCUUGCCAGUGUUUGGUGGGUAUCACAGGUGUGAUAACUAUCUACGCUUGUGGUUUUCCACCAGGUAACCUUCAGCAGUGGAGGUUCGCUGGAGCUCACAGAUGUGUCUCUCCUCAGUGAGGACAGCUCUUUGAAUGUUUGAUCUCAAAUCAGGUAGGACUACCCGCUGAACUUAAGCAUAUCUAUAAGCGGAGGA